rnacentral:rRNA from 1 species
AGCAACGCCGCGUGAGGGACGACGGCCUUCGGGUUGUAAACCUCUUUUAGCAGGAAAGAAGCGAAAGUGACGGUACCUGCAGAAAAAGCGCCGGCUAACUACGUGCCAGCAGCCGCGGUAAUACGUAGGGCGCAAGCGUUAUCCGGAAUUAUUGGGCGUAAAGAGCUCGUAGGCGGUCUGUCGCGUCUGCUGUGAAAACCCGAGGCUCAACCUCGGGCCUGCAGUGGGUACGGGCAGACUAGAGUGCGGUAGGGGAGAUUGGAAUUCCUGGUGUAGCGGUGGAAUGCGCAGAUAUCAGGAGGAACACCGAUGGCGAAGGCAGAUCUCUGGGCCGUAACUGACGCUGAGGAGCGAAAGGGUGGGGAGCAAACAGGCUUAGAUACCCUGGUAGUCCACCCCGUAAACGUUGGGAACUAGUUGUGGGGUCCAUUCCACGGAUUCCGUGACGCAGCUAACGCAUUAAGUUCCCCGCCUGGGGAGUACGGCCGCAAGGCUAAAACUCAAAGGAAUUGACGGGGACCCGCACAAGCGGCGGAGCAUGCGGAUUAAUUCGAUGCAACGCGAAGAACCUUACCAAGGCUUGACAUAUACGAGAACGGGCCAGAAAUGGUCAACUCUUUGGACACUCGUAAACAGGUGGUGCAUGGUUGUCGUCAGCUCGUGUCGUGAGAUGUUGGGUUAAGUCCCGCAACGAGCGCAACCCUCGUUCUAUGUUGCCAGCACGUAAUGGUGGGAACUCAUGGGAUACUGCCGGGGUCAACUCGGAGGAAGGUGGGGAUGACGUCA